AUUUACACUGUCAACAACAACAACGCGGCGACACAGAUGCCCCAAAGUGGCAAGAGCACCGAAAUCCGUUUAAAGAAGAUAUUCUUCAGCCUGUUGACACAGGUCUUUUGGAAAGCAAUGCCGUGGAUGGAGGCUCCAAGUACCCACUGACGGGAACCAUCACCAAGAACCCAAAGGAAAGAAUCGUCUCCGUUCGUGCAAUCCAGAGAGGCACCGGUAAGUCACUGGGGUUCGCAGGUGCCGGCCCCGACCGCCUUCGUGGAUUCUUAGGAUACUCUCCCGAAAUUUAAAAGAGUGUUGGUAAAUUUUCAUCAGAACCAGCCAAGAUUACAUAACUACCAUUUAAUGGUUCAUUAAAAAACUUUGUAAAAAUUUCAGCGGUCUCAAUUAUGACUCAAGUUAUGACUUUGUUUAAUGAUUUAACUUUGAUACGGAAAGUUCUUUUUUAUUUUAUUUAUCCCCCCCUCCCCCCAAAAAAAGCCUCUAACGGGAGUCUUAUUAACUUGAUGCCCCGAUCAUCACUGUUUCACUCCAGAAAAAAUUACUCUGAGAUGUUUAGUUCUUAGCUCAUUGAUUACGAUCAUCGGUGAUUGAUAAGUGGUAAUCGAGCAAUCAGUGGAUCAGUGAGGUUGAGACAGUUUGUCGGCAGUGUUUAGAAGGGUUAGAUAAUCCACAGUCAUGCGGGGAAUGAGCGAUGUCAUCAACACUGCUGUAAGGUAUGGGUAGCAUGAGCACUAAUGUGAGGUACCAGCGGGAUGAUUAAUGAUGAUGUGAGGUAUGGGUAAGGUGAUCAGCAGUUAUAUAAAAUUCUUGUCACAAAGAAUAGUGUCCAUUUUGUAACAACAACACUCACAUUUUAUGCAAAGUGUUUAAAGUCACCAUGAAAAUAAAGACUGAAAAAAUA